CAAGUCUUGUCUUUUCAUUUUAACAUUCGUUAGCAAAAGAAUAGAAAUAGAUCGUCUCGAAAUCUUUCUUAACUCUUUUAUUAGUUUGUUUUAAAAUUAUCAAAUUAGUUUCGAAAUUAUGUUAACUGAAAUUCGUAUACGACCACGUCAGGUCCUUUUGUUGAUUAUAAUCUUCUUCGGAGCGCUUAUAGUUGUUCAUCGGAAUGCAAAAAGAUGUUCCUUGCCCGAAAAGCUCCAAACAUUCUAUGACAAUAAUCAUCUACCAACGAUUUACGCCAUCACACCAACUUAUGCACGCCCAGCUCAAAAAGCUGAACUCACCAGAUUAUCACAUGUGUUUAUGCUUGUGCCAAAUCUUCACUGGAUUUUAGUAGAAGACGCCAACUCCACCAGCAAUCUAGUGCGAAACCUUCUCAUUCGAGCUGGUUUAGAAAAAAGAUCGACUCAUCUGAAUAUUAAGACUCCUGCAGCUUUCAAACUGCAAGGCAAAGACCCCAAUUGGAUAAAGCCUCGUGGAGUGGAACAGCGCAAUUUGGCCCUGCAAUGGAUUCGCUCCAAUAUCAAACCCAACGAUGGCCAUGGUAUUGUUUUUUUCAUGGAUGACGACAACACGUACACAGUGGAGUUGUUUGAAGAAAUGUGUAAAAUCGAACGAGGAAGAGUGGGAGUGUGGCCUGUAGGUCUUGUCGGUGGUCUGAUGGUAGAGAAGCCGGUCUUAAACAGCGACAAUCAAGUGAUUGGCUUUAAUUCUGCUUGGCGUCCAGAAAGACCAUUUCCCAUCGACAUGGCCGGAUUUGCUGCUAGUGUGGAUUUGCUAUUUAAAUUUCCUGAAGCGGUCUUUUCAUACGAAGUCCAGCGGGGCUAUCAAGAGAGUGAGAUUUUGAGACAUCUCACUGUGGUUUCAGAUUUACAACCACUCGCAAAUCUAUGCACUGAUGUACUCAUUUGGCAUACUCGAACAGAAAAAACUAAACUAUCUGCGGAAGAGGCUCUCAUAAAAAAAGGACAACGUUCCAAUACUGGAAUGGAGGUCUAGAUAUAAGACUUGCAUUAAUCUUUUCAUCAUCUUCAAUAACUCGGACUCAGGAGGCUGUGAAAUUAAGGGCUCUUUAUGUUUUUCAGAUCUAAACCAAAAGUGGUAACUAACUACGGUGUCUCUCUUCAGUUCAAGCACGUCGAUUUCUUCUUCUUCCACGUAAUCCACCAUUUCGCUUUUUUCCACCAAUCACUUGUAUUCGCCGAUAGGGUAUUUGAGAGAGAUGUUUCAGGCAGGAAAAGUAAAUACACUUUAAGAAUUUGUGGCUGUAGUCAACAGAUCUGAACCAAAAGUGGUGAACUAAGGUGUAAGGCACCUUUAGCUACACACACCUGGUCGUCAAAUUUGGAAUUCCUUGCAAUAAGAAAUUGGGCAGGAGCCCCAUCAGUUGUGAUUGAUACGAGUUUAAACAAAGGUAGUUUAAUCUGGUUAUUACAUGCUUUGACUUUCUGUGAAAAUAUUCCUUUUAAGGAAAUCAUACUUAGCAAUUCCCCUUUCAUAGAGAAAUCAUCGA